CCCAUCCACCAGAACCAGUGAGUUCGGAUCAGUCUGAUUCUCUGUGCUCUGAGCCGGAGGGGGACCAGCUUGAGGUGCGAGGACAGAUGCUGGAGACGAGAAGCAGGUACAGGGAGUGAGCAUUUAAUAACCAACGGACAGGAACAGAAUACAGCGUCUGGACAGGGGAAACUUGAACGACAAUAAUGCUGACAUGGGGAACCAAUGGAGGAACAGACAGAUAUAGAUGGGGCCAUCAACAAGGUGAAAGAGUCCAAGUGAGUACAAGGAGUGCUGAUGCGCAUAAUGAUGGUGACAGGUGCGCGUAAUGAAGGUCACCCUGGCACCCUCAAGCACCAGAGAGGAAGAGCAUGAGCAGGCGUGACAGUACUCCCCCCAGGGGCCUCACCCGAUGUCCCACCUGGGCGAGCCUGACGGGCCAGCCGAGGCAUGGGCUCUGGACAAGCCGACUGAGGUGUAGAAGCCCAACAAGCCGGCAGAGGCGUGGGAGCCCAACGAGCCGGCAGAGGCGUGAGUGCCUGAUGAUCGGGCUGAGGGGUGAAGGCCUGAUGAUCCCGCUGAGGUGUGGGAGCUUGACGAGCCGGCUGAGGCAUGGGAGCUCGAUGAGCCGGCUGAGGCAUGACGUAGGGUGGGCGCCUGCAGAGCCAACCGAGACAAGAAAUCCUUUCAAGCCAGCUAAGGUGUGGAAGCCCGACGAGCCAACUAAGGCACCCCCAGUUCCAUCGGCGACAGCAUCCGGACCCGACGUCACCAACAAAAAAAAAAUCCCUGUUGCUUCACAUAUGGGUGUCAGCAUUCUGUGAGGACAGAUGCUGGAGAUGAGAAGCAGGUACAGGGAGUGAACAUUUAAUAACCAACGGACAGGAACAGAAUACGGACAGUGCUUGGACAGGGGAAACUUAAACGACAAUAAUGCUGACACGGGGAACCAACAGAGGAACAGACAGAUAUAGAUCGGGGAAUCAACAAGCUGAAGGAGUCCAGGUGAGUCCAGGUGAGUCCAAUGAGCGCUGAUGCGCGUAAUGAUGCUGACAGUUUUGUGUAAUGAAGGGCAGCCUGACGCCCUCGAGCACCACAGAGGGAGAGAGGGUGCAGGCGUGACAAUAGGGACAAAAAUAUUGGAGAAGUGGUUUAUCAAUACAUCUCCGUUUUGGAGAGAUAACUCUUUGUGUUAUUGUUUUUUUAUUUUUUCUGAUUUUCCCAGAAGUGGUUAGAGUCCACGGAUUCUUCAAUUACAUUGAGCUGAUUUCUGACAUGCUGUUUCUAUAUUAUUUUAGUGAUUCACCAUAGUGAAGGCAUAGACUUAGGUUUUCUGGGUCUCUAUGUUUUUGGUUGGAUAGGUUUCUCAAUUUCUUUCUUAGGUUUUUACAUUCUUCAUCAAACCAUUUGUCAUUGUUGUUAAUUUUCUUAGCUUGCCUGCUUGACAUUUUUAGAUUUGAUAGAUAGGGAAGCUGAGAGGUCAAAAAUACUGUUUAGGUUUUCUACUGCCAAGUUUACACCUUCACACUGUCAUGACUCUCCUGUGAAGAUUUGAAGGAUCAGGUUAAGGUGGGUCCGCUCUAAGGCUCCCUCUCUCUCCCGCAUGGGGGAGAGGGGUGAAGUUGGCCGUUCUGUGACGGUCGCAAAUACCUGCAGGAACUCUCUCUCUCUCCCACUCUGCAGUAAUGGAAGUUAAAAAUCCCUUCAUUACAACAGAGAGAGAUUUUGUAGUACUGUGACAUCCAAGAUUGGAUAAUGUUGUGGAAUUUAUAAGAUUCAAUUUUUAACUAUUUGGGAGAAGAUGAAAUGUGAUGUUAGCCUUCUAAAUGAGAAUUGUUUUUCAUAUAAAAGUUCUACCCAGUCAGUGACCACACCCAUGUGAGCAUUAUGUUGGCGUCAUGGAACGCCCCCUUUUGCCAGAGUGCAUAAAACCCCUCCUAACGAAAUUUACAUUAGACCAAGCAGGCAGACGGUGUUGAACUGGACGUCACGAAUGUUCAGACUCUGAGACCAGAAAAACG
rnacentral:lncRNA from 1 species